AUACGUAGGUGGCAAGCGUUAUCCGGAUUUACUGGGUGUAAAGGGCGUGUAGGCGGGACUGCAAGUCAGAUGUGAAACCCAUGGGCUCAACCCAUGGCCUGCAUUUGAAACUGUGGUUCUUGAGUGUCGGAGAGGUAAUCGGAAUUCCGUGUGUAGCGGUGAAAUGCGUAGAUAUACGGAGGAACACCAGUGGCGAAGGCGGAUUACUGGACGAUAACUGACGCUGAGGCGCGAAAGCGUGGGGAGC
rnacentral:rRNA from 1 species